UCCUAAACCUGAUUGAAGCGAACAUCCCGAUUUUUCAUCGGGAUAAAGCAUAAAGCGGGACCGAAG
rnacentral:sRNA from 1 species